CUCACUCACUCAUCCCAAAGUAGCUUAAAAAAAAGUUUUGAGCGUGUUAAGUGAAAAAUGACAACAAUUAAUAUUUUAAAUCAGGUAAAGAGAAACCCCGGAGCCCCUGCCCCUGUUUACCUGCCUGUCUGCGGGGGCCAGGCUGCCCCCUGCUGGCCCCGAUGAGUGGACAGGGAGCCGUGGUCCUCAGCGUGGCGUGUGGACGGCGGGCUCUGCCUGCCGCUCAGAGCUGCUCCUGUGAGUUGACAGACGACGUCGCUUUCCUUGGUGCAGUUCUGUCACUGGUGCUGCAGGUUAGUCAUGGCGGAAAUUGAAGCGGAGGGGAAAGAAACAUCUCUGGCUACUGAUUUCACAAAGGAAAACAAAACUGAACAAAAAAUAUUUGUGGGGCACCCGUAUAGUGAGAACGAAGGGAGAUACAGAUGAGCA
rnacentral:lncRNA from 1 species